GGUGGAAAAGCUGAGGUCACAUCAGAUUUGAAAUAUUUAAAGUGGAUACAAAACUAUUUCAGCAAUGCAGACAAUUAAGUGUGUUGUUGUGGGUGAUGUUGCUGUUGGUAAAACAUGUCUCCUGAUAUCCUACACAACAAACAAAUUUCCAUCGGAAUAUGUGCCAACUGUUUUUGACAAUUAUGCAGUGACAGUUAUGAUUGGUGGAGAACCAUAUACUCUUGGACUUUUUGAUACUGCAGGGCAAGAAGAUUAUGACAGAUUACGACCGCUGAGUUAUCCACAAACAGAUGUAUUUCUAGUCUGUUUUUCAGUGGUCUCUCCAUCUUCAUUUGAAAAUGUGAAAGAAAAGUGGGUACCUGAGAUAACUCACCACUGUCCAAAGACUCCUUUCUUGCUUGUUGGGACUCAAAUUGAUCUCAGAGAUGACCCCUCUACUAUUGAGAAACUUGCCAAGAACAAACAGAAGCCUGUCACUCCAGAGACUGCUGAAAAGCUGGCCCGUGACCUGAAGGCUGUCAAGUAUGUGGAGUGUUCUGCACUUACACAGAAAGGCCUAAAGAAUGUAUUUGACGAAGCAAUAUUGGCUGCCCUGGAGCCUCCAGAACCGAAGAAGAGCCGCAGGUGUAUGCUGCUAUGAACAUCUCUCCAGAGCCCUUUCUGCACAGCUGGUGUCGGCAUCAUACUAAAAGCAAUGUUUAAAUCAAACUAAAGAUUAAAAAUUAGAAUUCGUUCUUGCAAUAAUGACAAAUGCCCUGCACCUACCCACAUGCACACGUGUGAGACAAGGCCCAUAGGUAUGCCCCCCCUUCCCCUCCCAGUACUAGUUAAUUUUGAGUAGUUGUGUAUUGUCAGAAAAGUGAUUAGUACUAGUUUUUGUUUUGUUGUUUCCAAAAAAAAAGUGUUUUUUUUUUUUUUUUUUUUUUUUUGGUUUAAAAACAAGGCAUGCUUGUGGAUGAUUGUAACAGACUAAUUGGAAUUGUUGAAGCUGCUCCCUGGUUCCACUCUGGAGACAUCUGGGACAUAUUAGUGUUUUUUUUUGUUUUUUUUUUUCCUCCUCUUUUUUUUGGGGGGAGUGUGUGUGGGGUUUGUUUUUUAGUCUUGUUUUUUUAAUUCAUUAACCAGUGGAUAGCCCUUAAGGGGAGGAGGACGGUUUGAU